CUUUUUCCACACUUUUCAUGUGCAUCAAGAACAUGUGCCCGAAGUAAUAGUUCCACAUGUCAGAGUGAUUGCCAAAUUUGAGAAGAAAUACAUGUUCAUAGUUAACAGAUUGUUGUUGUUGUUGUGUAACUUCAAGUCAUUUCCAACAACCCUAUCACAUGGUUUUCUAAAACUGUGUAUGACUUGCCCAAGGUCACUCAGUGGGUUUAGUGGUACUGAAGCGACUUGCAGUAUAUUCUCAAUUAGCUUCUGAUACGAUAAAAAACCAGUGGGUUUUUGGGGCUAAGUGGGUAUCCGAACUCUGUUCUCCCGAAUCAUAGUCCAAUACUCAAACCACUACACCAUGCUGGCACCACUUAACAGAUACUGUUUAUUAAUAGGCAGAUGUCACACCAAACCAAUUAGUGACCAAACAGCAUGUUGAAUAGCUCUAGAGAAAAGUGCAUUCCUCGUCUCCUCUGUUUCUUCCCUUGAAGGACUUGGAUCCACAGGACACAUUCAUUGGCCUAGGCAAAAUGCUGGAUUGGAUUCUUAUUGCCUUCAAUGUUAUGAGUAAAGACAGAACCACAAGAAGGGAAUGCUGGGGAAUGCUAAUACAUCCAUUUGCAAGUCCCAACUGGAGCAAAUUCAAUAUAAUUCAUGUAAAUGUUGAUUUGGGAGACGGUGGUCGGACAUCCGGACAACGUGGCUGGUCCAGCGGAGUUGAUGGUGGAGGACCAUCACUUUGCUUCUCCCAGCUGGUGGUCUUUGCUUCUUCCAGCAUGCUGACAUUUGUCUGCUUGUUCCAUGGUACUGUUUUCAUGAUGUUGUGUUUUAUUGUGAUAUGUUUCUAUUUGGUUUUGUUUUGUUUUUAUUUUAUUGCAUUACGUUUUAACUCUGCGCUCUCCGGGCUUGUCCCUUUGUAAGACACCCCGAGUCCCUUUGGGGAGAUGGAGACGGGAUAUAAAAAUAAAGUUAUUAUUAUUACAA